CGGGACUUCCCGUCCAUCACAUCUAGGCGCCGGGCUGCAGGACUGGUAGGAGGCUCCGCCUCCCGCGUCCCGUGACCAUGACGACCGCUUCGCGGGACUCGGUGGUGUGGAAGCUCGCGGGGCUGCUGCGGGAGUCCGGGGAUGUGGUCCUGUCUGGCUGUAGCACACUGAGCCUGCUGACCACCACACUGCAGCAACUGAACCGUGUAUUUGAGCUAUACCUGGGACCAUGGGGGCCUGGUCAGACAGGCUUUGUGGCUCUGCCCUCCCACCCUGCCGACUCUCCCAUCAUCCUCCAGCUUCAAUUCCUCUUCGAUGUGCUGCAGAAAACACUUUCACUCAAGCUGGUCCAUAUCCCUGGUCCUGGCCUCCCAGGGCCCAUCAAGAUCUUUCCCUUCAAGUCUCUUCGGCAGCUGGAGCUCCGAGGUGUCCCCCUUCACUGCCUGCAUGGCCUUCGUGGCAUCUACUCCCAGCUGGAGACCCUGAUAUGCAGCAGGAGCCUCCAGGCACUAGAGGAGCUCCUCUCGGCCUGUGGUGGUGACCUCUGCUCUGCCCUCCCCUGGCUGGCUUUGCUUUCUGCCGACUUCAGCUAUAAUGCACUGACUGCCUUGGACAGCUCCCUGCGUCUCUUAUCAGCUCUGCGCUUCUUGAAUUUGAGCCACAAUCGAGUCCAGGACUGCAAAGGCUUCCUGAUGGAUUUGUCUGAGCUCUACCAUCUGGACAUCUCCUAUAAUCGCUUGCACUUGAUACCAAGAAUGGGACCUUCAGGGGCUGCUCUGGGGAUCUUGAUACUUCGAGGCAAUGAACUUCAGAGCCUACAAGGCCUGGAGCAACUGAGAAACCUGCGGCACCUGGAUGUGGCAUACAACCUGCUAGAAGGGCACAGGGAGCUGUCACCACUGUGGCUGUUGGCUGAACUUCGCAAGCUCUACCUGGAGGGGAACCCUUUGUGGUUCCAUCCUGCCCAUCGUGUGGCCACUGUCCAGUACUUAUCACCCCGGGUUAGGGAUGCUGCUCACAACUUCCUUCUUGAUGGUGAAGUCUUGUCACUGAAGGAUUUUCAGACCCCGGCAUCUUCAGGGCCUGGCCCCAUGGUCCCACCUCUGCCCUGGUCAGUGGGGAGUACGACUGAAACCUCAGGUGGUCCCGAGCUGAGUGAUAGUCUCUCUUCAGGGGGUAUCAUGGCCCAGGCCCCGCUGCGUAAGGUUAAGAACCGAGUCCGUGUGAGGCGGGCAAGUAUCUCCGAGCCCAGUGAUACAGACCCAGAGCCCCGAACUCUGGAUCCCUCUCCUGCUGGGUGGUUUGUACAACAGCAUCGGGAACUUGAGCUCCUGAACAGUUUCCGGGAGCGGUUUGGUUGUGACUGGCUGCAGUAUAGGAACCACCUGGAGACUUCUGGGAGCCCCCAUCUGGCUACCUCCAAGACUCCUGACCUUAGCACCCCUCCACUGGAUGCUCUGGGUCCAGAGAGUCUACCUGGCCCUCUGGCCCCAGAGAAGGAUACCAGAGAUCCUGAGGAAUCACCUCAGAAAAUGUCUGAAGAGGGUAGAGUGGAGCUGAAGCCCCUGGAAGAAGAGAGGGAGGAACAGGAAAAAGAAGAGGGAGCAAAGGAGAGACAGGAGGAAGAAGAGGAACAGGAAUGGAAGGAAGUGGAAGCGGAGCUCUGUCGCCCCAUGUUGGUGUGCCCCUUGCAAGGGCCUGAAGGUGUGCGUGGCAGGGAGUGCUUUCUCCGGGUCACUCCCACCCACUUGUUUGAGGUGGAACUCCAAGCAGCUCGAACCCUGGAGCAGCUGGAGCUGCAGAGUCUGGUGGUGGCUGAGCUAGAGGCCGAGAUGAAAACCCAGAGAGAACCGGUGCCUGAGGGCUCAGGUCUGUUCCCCAUGGCCCCUGUACUUGUGCUGCGCUUCUCCUACAUUUGCCCUGAUCGGCAAUUACGUCGCUAUGUGGUUCUGGAAUCUGAUGCCCAUGCAGCCAUCCAGGAGCUACUUGCUGUGCUAACCCCUUUCACCACUGUGGCACAGCGGCAGCUUAGGGAGGCCAGGGACCCACUGGGGACCAGAUUCCAGUGUCUGCGUUGUGGCUGUGAGUUCAAGCCAGAGGAGCCCAGGUUGGGACUGGAUGGUGAGGAAGGCUGGAGGCCUUUGUUCCAAAAGACAGAAUCUCUUGCUGUGUGUCCCAACUGUGGCAGUGACCACGUGGUUCUCCUGACUUUGUCUGAGGAAACCUCCAAUAGGGAGCAGAAUCAUGGACAACAGUCACCAGUUUCCUCUCAGUCUUCUAGUCCUGUCUGUGACCCUCCUGGCCAGAGUGACCACCCCAGCAAGGCUGACAAUAUCCCACCUCAGGCACCUGUCUCCCAUGGCCACAGCAGCUGGAGCCUCAGUCCGCCCCCUGAGCGCUGUGGCCUCCGCUCUGUGGACCACCGACUCCGGCUCUUCCUGGACGUGGAGGUGUUCAGCGAUGCCCAGGAGGAGUUCCAGUGCUGCCUCAAGGUACCAGCAGUAUUAGCAGGCCACUCAGGGGAAUUUCUGUGUCUUGUGGUUGUGUCUGAUCACAGGCUUUACCUGUUGAAGGUGACAGGGAAGAUCUGUGGGCCUCCAGCUAGCUGGCUCCAGCCGACCCUGGCCAUUCCCCUGCAGGAUCUGAGUGGCAUGGAGCUAGGCCUGGCAGGCCAAAGCCUACGGCUGGAGUGGGUGACUGGUGCAGGCAGCUGUGUUCUGCUACCCCGAGAUGCCAGGUGUUGCCGGGCCUUCCUGGAAGAGCUCAUUGGUGUCUUGCAGUCUCUGCCUCCCACCCGGAGGAACUCUGUCAUUGCCACAGAGGAGGAGGUAACCCCCCAGCACCGACUCUGGCCAUUGUUGGGACAAGUCGCUUCCUCAGAGGCUCCCCAGUUCUUCUAUCUUCAGGCGUUCCUGGUUGAAGGUCUCUCUACCUGCCCUGUGUCCCUGUUGCUGACGCUGGACACUCUUUACCUGUUAGAUGAGAACCCUGUAGGGUCCCAUGCAGAGCCCCCUCUCCCAGCAGCAUCUGGCGAAGCCUCUGAAAAGGCCCCUCCCUUGGUGCUGGACCCUUCUGUGCAGAUCAGGGAGCAGCAGCCACUCAGCAGCCUGAGCUCAGUGCUGCUCUAUCGGUUGGCCCCUGAGGACCUGCAGCUGGUCUUCUAUGAUGAGGUGUCCCGGACGGAGAGUUCCUGGGCACUCCGCGUUGUAUGUCGGGAGCAGCUGACAGCUCUGCUGGCCUGGAUACGGGAGCCCUGGGAGGAGUUGUUUUCCAUUGGACUCCGGACUGUGACCCAGGAGACUCUGGACCUUGACCGAUGAUUUCCACGCUGACCAAAGCCCUGACCUCAGGAGCUAUGCUGCAGAGGUUCCCUCUCUUGGUCUCUGAAUCUGGCUUCCAGAAUCUGACUGUGGACUUCUCCAGCCUUUGUGCAUUGGUCAGUGACCUAUGGCUGAAGGGAAGGGCAAGAGAAAUGAUCUGACCUCUGGGUGACCUGGCCUGAGGGGACAGGCUAAAUGGUCAGUGAGAAUGUUUCUCACGAACUUUUUCUCAGUUCAGUAUGAACCACUGGAAGGAUCCUGGCUAAAGAAACCCCCCACUCCAACUUGAGCCAUCUGGGGUGGGGGA